GCCACCGUAGCUCAGUUGGUAGAGCGCUUCAUUCGUAAUGAAGAUGUCGGAGGUUCGAUUCCUCUCGGUGGCUCCA
rnacentral:tRNA from 1 species